AGCAGGGUGGAGGUGAGGCCGGGCCAGCUGCACUUGGGGGCUGAGACGGGGCCUGGUCGGUAUUGUCUCUCCCUGGGGCACACCCUGGCCUGCCAUCCCUUUCCCACUGAGGAAUUUGAAGGAGUAGGAGAGAAGACAUCAAGAUGAGUGGGGAUGUGGCCGAUUCCACGGACGCCCACAGAGCUCUCGGCCACGUGGAGAC
rnacentral:lncRNA from 1 species